UCCAUCCCCCAUUUCGCCCAAUCCCACAUUUUAGCGGUCUGGCCUUCGAGAUUUAUUUCAUUUCGCCUUCGCCAUUCAAACAAAGGGGAAGGCAGCUACGGAUCCCGACUUCUUUCGUGAUCCUGAUCGUUUUCGUCCUCCGAAGGAAGGAUCUUGGAAGACGGAGCCCGGGAGCCUAGUUCUUGGAUCGAUUAGGAGGUCGAGAGGGGCUCGUCUGAUCGGCUCGGAACCGUAGCUCCGAGGACAUGGCCAAGGCGGCGAUGGCGGUGCCCCUCGUGCGGCACCGGACGCGGAGCUCGGGCUGCCGCGGUGAUCAACGAACUCAAGGAGCGACGCGCCGCGCCAGCCCAACGCGAAGCCGCGGCAGGUGGCGGACGUGACGACGGAGGAGAUGCACGCGGGGCUCGCUUCCCAGGGCGGGAGCAAGCUUAAGAUUCUGAUCAGCUACGUCGACAACCUCCCCCCAGGGUUGGGGAAGAUGUGGUCUCUGAAUUGAUGAGGGCCAUUGAAGGACAAGGUCUCAAUAUGCAAGUAUCAGCACUGGUUAAUUAUACAAUCGGGACAUUAGCUGGGGCGAGAUGUUAUGAUAAUGAUGUAGUUGCUGCUGUGAUACUAGGCGCUGGUACAAAUGCAGCCUAUGUAGAGCAUGCCCAUGCAAUACCUAAGUGGCACAGUCUUCUUCCCAAAUCAGGAGAGAUGGUGAACAAACUUUCUUUUGCCUGACAUGUAAAGUUAAUCUUUUUCUCCUUUGGUUAUGAUAAAUUGAACAUAUAACAUAUAAUAAAACAAGAUUUCUACUAUGCAGCUGUUAGGAAAGCUUGUUGACAUUGUAUAAGUUCUUAAAUUUCAUUUUUUAUUGAGGUUAUCAACGUGGAAUGAGAAACUUCAGGUCAUCUCAUCUUUUCUUUAACUGACUAUGAUCAAGCAUUAGUUUUUUGAGGGUUUGAACCCUGGUGACAAGUAAUGUAUAAAGAGCUUGACUUAUUUCUAUCACUAGAAUUGUACAAAUGCUAUAAAUUCAAGAAACUUUGUCAUUACAGAUUUUUGGGAAGUUGAUAUCUGGAAUGUAUCUGAAAGGAAUUUUAGGAGAGUCCUGAGAUUGGUUAACGAAGCUUGCCUUGUUUGGAGACUGUGUUCCAUCGAAACUCAAAACUCCGUUUAUACUAAGGACUCCAAGUCAUGUCAGCGGUGCACCACCAUACUUCACCUGAUCUUAUUGUUGUUGGGACUAAACCGAAGGAAGUCUUGAAGGCACAAUCUUCUUGGUUACUGGCGUUCAUAUUUGGCAGCCUGUUGUAUGCAGUUGGCAUAAUCUUCAGAGGUAUUUCUGUAUCUUAAAAUGAUAUCUAUCGAUCUAGCACAGUCUAAACGAAUCCAAACAUUUUGUGCAAGACCCUUUUCUAUGCCGUGUAUGCAGUUCUUAAUUUGACCUAUGCGAUUGCAUCUGAUAGUAGAGUAAGCAAAGUGGUGGUCAGUUCACAGAAGACAGCAGAAUCUUGUGCAGAGGACGCUGUUCUGAUGCUGCCCGGCUUUUGUCUCCUGCACCUGCAUUGCAUUGUGCUGUUGCUGUGCCAGAAAUCUUCUGCAACUACAUCCGGUGAUUUCCCUGUCGUGAAGGCCAUAUUCCAUUAGUUGCUCUAUAUUGACCGUGUCUUGGUGAUCAGAGAUCGUCAUGACGACGAGGUAUAACCAUU